GGCCCGAUGGUUUAGGGGUAUAAUACUCGCUUAGGGCAGUGUGGGCUCCGGCUCAUCGACAACUCUAAGUCGCUUGCGAGUGGUCCCGGGUUCGAUUCCCGGUUGGGCCC